rnacentral:rRNA from 1 species
GACGAACGCUGGCGGCGUGCUUAACACAUGCAAGUCGAGCGGUAAGGCCCUUUCGGGGGUACACGAGCGGCGAACGGGUGAGUAACACGUGGGUGACCUGCCCUCAGCUCUGGGAUAAGCCUGGGAAACCGGGUCUAAUACUGGAUAUGACUCCAUGACGCAUGUGUGGGUGAAAGCCUGUGCGGCUGAGGAUGGGCCCGCGGCCUAUCAGCUUGUUGGUGGGGUGUAGGCCUACCAAGGCGACGACGGGUAGCCGGCCUGAGAGGGCGACCGGCCAC